UGUAGAUUGCUCACAGCUGCACACAUGAUCGGCCUCUACGGGAAGUCCACUCGAAGCUCCAAUUUGAUCGGUCUUCUCGGGAAUGCUAGUUCACGCGAAGACCUUCUUCCUAGCUGAUCUGAAUUUUUUUUCAAAUCUCUAAAAUUUUUUUAAAGAUUGAAGAUGAACUUCUGGAGGAGAUAAAGAGGUGGAAGAAAGAUAGAGAGGAGACUAUCUUCUCU
rnacentral:lncRNA from 1 species